CACGUAGGGCGCAAGCGUUGUCCGGAAUUAUUGGGCGUAAAGAGCUCGUAGGCGGUCUGUCGCGUCGGAUGUGAAAAUCCAGGGCUCAACCCUGGACCUGCAUUCGAUACGGGCAGACUAGAGUUCGGCAGGGGAGACUGGAAUUCCUGGUGUAGCGGUGAAAUGCGCAGAUAUCAGGAGGAACACCGGUGGCGAAGGCGGGUCUCUGGGCCGAAACUGACGCUGAGGAGCGAAAGCGUGGGGAGCAAACAGG
rnacentral:rRNA from 1 species